rnacentral:misc_RNA from 1 species
UCCUGGUUUCCCAGGCAGUCCCAUCAGAGUGCUCCGCUUUCGCAGUAGCAACUGAUAGCAAGGGUUGCGCUCGUUAGAGGACUUAACCCAACAUCUCACGACACGAGCUGACGACAGCCAUGCAGCACCUGUGUAUCUGUCUAAACCGAAGCCUAGAAGAUCGUGUUUCCACGACUGUCAAAUACAUGUCAAGCCUAGGUAAGGUUCCUCGCGUAGUAUCGAAUUAAACCACAUGUUCCACCGCUUGUGCGGGCCCCCGUCAAUUCCUUUGAGUUUCAGCCUUGCGGCCGUACUCCCCAGGCGGGGCACUUAAUGCGUUAGCGCCGGCACCCAGGGGGUCGCUCCCCCAGGCACCUAGUGCCCAUCGUUUACGGCGUGGACUAC